CCUACGGGCUGCACCAGUGGGGAAUAUUGCACAAUGGGCGCAAGCCUGAUGCAGCCAUGCCGCGUGUAUGAGGAAGGCCUUCGGGUUGUAAAGUACUUUCAGCGAGGAGGAAGGCAUUAAGGUUAAUAACCUUGGUGAUUGACGUUACUCGCAGAAGAAGCACCGGCUAACUCCGUGCCAGCAGCCGCGGUAAUACGGAGGGUGCAAGCGUUAAUCGGAAUUACUGGGCGUAAAGCGCACGCAGGCGGUCUGUCAAGUCGGAUGUGAAAUCCCCGGGCUCAACCUGGGAACUGCAUUCGAAACUGGCAGGCUAGAGUCUUGUAGAGGGGGGUAGAAUUCCAGGUGUAGCGGUGAGAUGCGUAGAGAUCUGGAGGAAUACCGGUGGCGAAGGCGGCCCCCUGGACGAAGACUGACGCUUAGGUGCGAAAGCGUGGGGAGCAAACAGGAUUAGAUACCCCAGUAGUC
rnacentral:rRNA from 1 species